CGUGGGGAAACUGAGGCAGCGAGGCGAGCCGGGACGGGACGGCGGCACCAGGCACGUGCCCACGCUGGCUGCGGCUCUGGUGCGGGUGGAGGGAAGACGCGUGCCCAGAAUCGGCCCCGCAGGCGGAGAGGGGCCCAGGCCGCUCUCUGCAGGUGCAACACGGCCAGGCAGCCAGAGACGUGGGUGUGCGGGGCUGGACACGAGCGCAGACGGGUUGGGCGGGCACGGGCUGGGCAGCGGCCCCGGCAGCCGUCCCGCCGAGCCCCUUUCCAUCAGGCGUGACGGAUGUUCUCGCAAGUGCCGGUGUGAGCCGCCUCCGCGUGUGCAGCACGUGCCAGGGCUGGUGGCCUGGGGAAAGCCGCUCGCUGCCGCCCCGUCUCACGGGGGGAUCGAGUGAGCGAGCGGCAUGGCGCAGCACAGCACAGCACAGCGCAGCACAGCACAGCGCAGCACAGCACGGUGCAGCACAGCAUGACACGGGAAAGCACGGCACGGGAAAGCAUGGCACAGCAUGGCACAGCAUGGCACAGCACAGCAUGGGAAAGCACAGCACAGCAUGGGAAAGCACAGCACAGCACAGCACAGCACAGUGCAGCAUGGCAUGGGAAAGCACAGCACAGCGCAGCACGGCGCAGCACGGCAUGGGAAAGCACAGCACAGCGCAGCACGGCGCAGCAUGGCAUGGGAAAGCACAGCACAGCAUGGCACGGCACGGUGCAGCAUGGCACGGUGCAGCACGGCAUGGCACAGCAGCCAGCCUGGGCGCCGGGGCUGAGGCUGAGGCCGUGGUGGGGACGCCCUCCCCUCCGUCCAGAAGGAUUUUCUCCUCCCGGGAGGGUGCUAAGUCAGCAGAUCCAUCAUGCACCAACAGGCUGUUUUAUCCCCCCCCUUUUACCCUUCUGAGUUUCACAUUGCAGUGUAUUUUUUAAUCUUUUUCGAGGGAACUCCAGCACCAAGCAGACAGCACAGCAGCAGGGCGCCUGCUCUGCACGUCCCCGGGCCACGGGCACCCAGCCUCCCGCCGGCACAGCUGUUUCGUGACGCAGCUCCCGGCACGCCAGGAGCUGCGCUGAGACCCGCAGCUCAAAUCCCCCGGAGCGGCGAGGCGCUGGCGUGCUCCCCUAGGGGCUUUGAGCUGCAAGAAGCCAGGCAACGUGUCCCCCAGCUUUGGCUUUUGCACAGGGACGACGCCGUGGCGCAGCCCCGCGGAGGAGUGCGCCGAGCCGCGGC
rnacentral:lncRNA from 1 species